AACAGGAGAGGCGGGGAUGUUGUAGCUCUGUGCCGCGACCACAAUGGUACAUAUCUUGGCUCCUCGGCGGUGGUAUACCAGGGGAUAUCCGACCCGAUGAUUCUGGAAACAUACGCGUGCAGAGAAGCUCUAGCAUUGGCGGAAGACCUUGCAGUUCAGGACGUCAUGGUGGCAUCUGAUUGUCAAGGAGUAGUUAAUGACAUCAACCAUGGGACAGGGGGUCCGAAUGCAGCACUUACACAUGAAAUCAUAGCUCGUAGUUCCAUAUUUUCCUCUUGUUCGUUCCUGCAUGAGCGCAGGAACUUUAAUUUUGAGGCUCACAACCUCGCCAAAUUUGCUUGUAAAUUAGGUACCGGUAGACAUGUUUGGUUGGGCAUCCCUCAUGACCCAGACUUUAUACCUAUGAACAUUACUUUGAAUCAAUAA
rnacentral:rRNA from 1 species